GACACAACUUAUGUUGAGACUUUGAAGUAGUUGCUUUAUUAUGAAGACUGCUCAUUUUCUAAAAUGUAAAUCAUCCUUAGGGUAUGUGUGAUCCUGUUACAUUUUUUUCUUCUAGGGAAGAACAGUGAUUAUUGAGCAGAGUUGGGGAAGUCCCAAAGUAACAAAAGAUGGUGUGACUGUUGCAAAGUCAAUUGACUUAAAGGAUAAAUAUAAAAACAUUGGAGCUAAACUUGUUCAAGAUGUUGCCAAUAACACAAAUGAAGAAGCUGGGGAUGGCACUACCACUGCUACCGUACUGGCACGCUCUAUAGCCAAGGAAGGCUUCGAGAAGAUUAGCAAAGGUGCUAAUCCAGUGGAAAUCAGGAGAGGUGUGAUGUUAGCUGUUGAUGCUGUAAUUGCUGAACUUAAAAAGCAGUCUAAACCUGUGACCACCCCUGAAGAAAUUGCACAGGUUGCUACGAUUUCUGCAAAUGGAGACAAAGAAAUUGGCAAUAUCAUCUCUGAUGCAAUGAAAAAAGUUGGAAGAAAGGGUGUCAUCACAGUAAAGGAUGGAAAAACACUGAAUGAUGAAUUAGAAAUUAUCGAAGGCAUGAAGUUUGAUCGAGGCUAUAUUUCUCCAUACUUUAUUAAUACAUCAAAAGGUAAGAA
rnacentral:sRNA from 1 species